CGGGGUAUAGCUCAGUUUGGUAGAGCGCCGCUUUCGGGAAGCGGAGGUUCGCACGUUCGAAUCGUGUUACCCCGA
rnacentral:tRNA from 1 species